rnacentral:misc_RNA from 2 species
AGCAGCCGCGGUAAUUCCAGCUCCAAUAGCGUAUAUUAAAGUUGUUGCAGUUAAAAAGCUCGUAGUUGAAUUUCGGGAUCAGUUGGUCGGUCGUGCCUCGGUACGUACUGGUCAAAUUGAUUCCUACCUUCUGACGAACCACGAUGUCAUUAAUUUGGUGUCGCGGGAAAUCAGGACUGUUACUUUGAAAAAAUUAGAGUGUUUAUAGCAGGCUCGCGCUUGAAUACAUUAGCAUGGAAUAAUGAAAUAGGACGUUUGAUUCUAUUUUGUUGGUUUCUAGGAUCGACGUAAUGAUUAAUAGGGAUAGUUGGGGGCAUUAGUAUUCAAUUGUCAGAGGUGAAAUUCUUGGAUUUAUUGAAGACUAACUACUGCGAAAGCAUUUGCCAAGGAUGUUUUCAUUAAUCAAGAACGAAAGUUAGGGGAUCGAAGACGAUCAGAUACCGUCGUAGUCUUAACCAUAAACUAUGCCGACUAGGGAUCGGAUGAUGUUAAUUUUUUAAUGACUCAUUCGGCGCCUUAC